AUUGAACGCUGGCGGCAUGCCUUACACAUGCAAGUCGAACGGCAGCACGGGAGCAAUCCUGGUGGCGAGUGGCGAACGGGUGAGUAAUAUAUCGGAACGUGCCCGGUCGUGGGGAUAACGUAGCGAAAGCUACGCUAAUACCGCAUACGAUCUACGGAUGAAAGCGGGGGGAUCGCAAGACCUCGCGCGAUUGGAGCGGCCGAUAUCAGAUUAGGUAGUUGGUGAGGUAAAGGCUCACCAAGCCGACGAUCUGUAGCUGGUCUGAGAGGACGACCAGCCACACUGGGACUGAGACACGGCCCAGACUCCUACGGGAGGCAGCAGUGGGGAAUUUUGGACAAUGGGCGCAAGCCUGAGUCCAGCAAUGCCGCGUGCAGGAUGAAGGCC
rnacentral:rRNA from 1 species